rnacentral:rRNA from 1 species
AUUGAACGCUGGCGGAAUGCUUUACACAUGCAAGUCGAGCGGCAGCGCGGGGGCAACCCUGGCGGCGAGCGGCGAACGGGUGAGUAACAUAUCGGAACGUACCCAGUCGUGGGGGAUAACUAUCCGAAAGGAUAGCUAAUACCGCAUACGUCCUGAGGGAGAAAGCGGGGGAUCGCAAGACCUCGCGCGAUUGGAGCGGCCGAUAUCGGAUUAGCUAGUUGGUGGGGUAAAGGCUCACCAAGGCGACGAUCCGUAGCGGGUCUGAGAGGACGACCCGCCACACUGGAACUGAGACACGGUCCAGACUCCUACGGGAGGCAGCAGUGGGGAAUAUUGGACAAUGGGCGCAAGCCUGAUCCAGCAAUGCCGCGUGUGUGAAGAAGGCCUGCGGGUUGUAAAGCACUUUCAGUGGGGAGAACAGGUUCGGGUCAAUACCCCGGAGCCCUGACGUUACCCACAGAAGAAGCACCGGCUAACUCCGUGCCAGCAGCCGCGGUAAUGUG